UAAUGCAAAAAAAACACUUACCAAUCGACGGAUUUAAGUUGCUCCAGUGUCACAAGAUGCGAAAGUCCUGAUCGUUUGGUCCGCACAUUUUACCGGCGAUGCUAACGCAGCUAUUCGGCCAUGCUAUGGCUAUGAAUAGCGUCAAUAGCUAUUCGGUCAAUAGCUUCAGUUUCUUCUUCAAUACUUUCAUACUCUAACCAUCCGUUUCAAUAGAUGCGUAAUCUGUUGAAUCGCUUAAGCCGCUGAAAUCCGAGUCUGAAUCCGAGCUAAUGUCGCUAUAUCUUGCUGUGGCAUUCGCAAUUGUUUGUUUACAUUGGCAGCACUGUAUGACGUCACAGGGAAAUGAAUAGUCGCAUCACAAAUAGCGAAAAUCAAGCACUUUAAAGCUUUUUUUAGGGAUAUUCAGAGACCGGUAAAAUUUUGAAAAAAACUUCAAAAAAUACAACAAGCCACUGGGAACUGAUUUUUAUUGUUUUCAACCGUUUUGAAAUUGCGAGAAUUUUCCCCUUUAAACUUUCAAUUCUUAAGUCUCUAGAGAUGAACUUCAGAUCUAUCUGUCGAAUUUAUUUUUGUAUUAUUUUUUCAUGUUUUUUUAUGACACAAACCCAACCUGCAAUAUUUUCCCCAAACAAUAUUUCAAUGGAGAAGUAACCAGGCCUUUGAAUAAGUCAAUAAUUCGUAACAACAUCGAUUUUGUUUUAUUAAUAUUUUUUUAUCUGUCACUAAACGCAGGCCCAAACGCAUUGUGAGGGUUUGCUGGGAACGUCUGGCAGAGUCUCCUGUCAGAGAAAGUUUCAAUUCCCACCUCCGGAGGAACUUUGAACAUGUCACGAGGGAGGUGCUGGACAUUGAGUCCGAGUGGACCAUGUUCCACACCUCUAUCGUCGAGGCGGCUGACCGGAGCUGUGGUCGCAAGGUAGUUGGUGCCUGUCGGGGCGGCAAUCCUAGAACCCGCUGGUGGACACCAGCGGUGAGGGAUGCCGUCCAUCUGAAGAAGGAGUCCUAUUGGGUUCUUUUGGCUCAUAGGACUCCAGAGGCAGUGGACAGGUACCGACAGGCCAAGCGGUGUGCAGCUUCAGCGGUCACAGAGGCAAAAACUCGGACAUGGGAAGAGUUUGGGGAAGCCAUGGAAAAUGACUUCCGGAUGGCUUCGAAGCGAUUCUGGACCACCAUCCGCCGCCUCAGGAAGGGAAAGCAGUGCACUGUCAACACCGUGUAUGGUGCGGAUGGUGUUCUGCUGACCUCAACUGCGGAUGUUGUGGGUAGGUGGAAGGAAUACUUCGAAGACCUCCUCAAUCCCACCAACACGUCUUCCUAUGAGGAAGCAGUGCCUGGGGAAUCUGUGGUGGACUCUCCUACUUCUGGGGCAGAGGUCGCUGAGGUAGUUAAAAAGCUCCUCGGUGGCAAGGCCCCAGGGGUGGAUGAGAUCCGCCCAGAGUUCCUUAAGGCUCUGGAAGCUGUGGGGCUGUCUUGGUUGACAAGACUCUGCAGCAUCGCGUGGACAUCGGGGGCGGUACCUCUGGAUUGGGAGACCGGGGUGGUGGUCCCACUCUUUGAGAAGGGGGACCGGAGGGUAUGUUCCAACUAUCGUGGGAUCACACUCCUCAGCCUUCCCGGUAAGGUUUAUUCAGGUGUACUGGAAGGAGGUUACGCCGGAUAGUCGAACCUCGGAUUCAGGAGGAACAGUGUGGUUUUCGUCCUGGUCGUGGAACUGUGGACCAGCUCUAUACUCUCGGCAGGGUUCUCGAGGGUGCAUGGGAGUUUGCCCAACCAGUCUACAUGUGCUUUGUGGACUUGGAGAAGGCAUUCGACCGUGUCCCUCGGGAAGUCCUGUGGGGAGUGCUCAGAGAGUAUGGGGUAUCGGACUGUCUUAUUAUGGCAGUCCGAUCCCUGUACGAUCAGUGUCAGAGCUUGGUCCGCAUUGCUGGCAGUAAGUCGGGCACGUUUCCAGUGAAGGUUGGACUCCGCCAAGGUUGCCCUUUGUCACCGAUUCUGUUCACAACUUUUAUGGACAGAAUUUCUAGGCGCAGUCAAGGCAUUGAGGGGUUCCGGUUUGGUGGCCGCGGGAUAAGGGCUCUGCUUUUUGCAGACGAUGUGGUCCUGUUGGCUUCAUCUGGCCGGGAUCUUCAGCUCUCACUGGAUCGGUUCGCAGCCGAGUGUAAAGCGGCCGGAAUGGGAAUCAGCACCUCCAAAUCCGAGUCCAUGGUUCUCUCCCGGAAAAGGGUGGAGUGCCAUCUCCGGGUUGGGGAGGAGACCCUGCCCCAAGUGGAGGAGUUCAAGUACCUACGAGUCUUGUUCACGAGUGGGGGAAGAGUGGAUCGUGAGAUCGACAGGCGGAUCGGUGCGGCGUCUUCAGUAAUGCGGACGUUGUACCGAUCUGUUGUGGUGAAGAAGGAGCUGAGCCGGAAGGCAAAGCUCUCAAUUUACCGGUCGAUAUACGUUCCCAUCCUCACCUAUGGUCAUGAGCUUUGGGUCAUGACCGAAAGGAUAAGAUCACGGGUACAAGCGGCCGAAAUGAGUUUCCUCCGCCGUGUGGCGGGGCUCUCCCUUAGAGAUAGGGUGAGAAGCUCUGCCAUCCGGGAGGAACUCAAAGUAAAGCCGCUGCUCCUCCACAUCGAGAGGAGCCAGAUGAGGUGGUUCGGGCAUCUGGCCAGGAUGCCACCCGAACGCCUCCCGAGGGAAGUGUUUAGGGCACGUCCAACCGGUAGGAGGCCACGGGGAAGACCCAGGACACGUUGGGAAGACUAUGUCUCCCGGCUGGGCUGGGAACGCCUCGGGAUCCCCCGGGAAGAGCUAGAUGAAGUGGCUGGGGAGAGGGAAGUCUGGGUUUCCCUGCUUAGGCUGCUGCCCCCGCAACCCGACCUCGGAUAAGCGGAAGAGGAUGGAUGGAUGGAUGGAAAUAUUGGGGAUCCAAAAAGGCCCCACUCAUAAAAGUGUUGAAAAUAAAUCAUAAAUUAUUCCUUUUAUUUGUUUUAUUUUUUUUACUUUCAAUUCUUAAGUCGCUAGAGAUGAACUUUAGAUCUAUCUGUUGAUUUUACGUUUGUAAUAUUUUUCCACGUUUUUUUCAAUGAAACAAACCCAUACAUUUUCUACCGCUUAUUCCCUUUUGGGGUGGCGGUGGGCGCUGGUGCCUAUCUCAGCUACAAUCGGGCAGAAGGCGGGGUACACCCUGGACAAGUCUGACACAAACCCAACCUGCAAUAUUUUGCCCAAAUAAUAUUUCAAGGGGGAAAUAAUCUCGGAUCCUUAAAUAUGUCAACAAUUGAUAUGAACAUGGAUUUUGAUUAAUAAUACAUUUUUUUAGCAUUUACAGUUGUAAUGAGAAAAAAAAAACAGCCUGCAUGACAGCGUUGCAGCAUCAGUGUCAACAUUGCAACUUUUUCUAGUUAUAUUUCACCUUUUUGCUCUUUUAUUCCACUUUUUAUGUUUUUUUGUUGUUGUUGCUGUAAUAGUAUUUUUAGAAUGUGUCGUUAAAAAAAUAACAAAUGUCCCGCGGGCAGUGACUAUUGUUUUGUUGGGACCAGCCGAAAGGGGCGGAGUCACAAGCCCUGAAAUAUAUGGUACAUAUGUUAUUAUCCCCAAGCCAGGCAGUGGGAGGAGCCUAUUUCGUCUCUCCGGUGAAACUGGAGGAGCUUCCUGACUCGUUCAUCCUGUCUCUCAAGUGUGCUCCUGGCAACGACUCUCUUCAGACUUAGCCUAGAAGACCACAACAUGGACCGAGGGAACGCACGGCACAAAGAGGCCGUGGCUCUGAAUAAACCCUCGGACGUUGAGGUCAGCACAACAGCCAAUCAUGAUGGAAGCCAUACCUCACAUAAAUCCUCCGCCUUUUCAACUCAACACGACGGUCUUUUGAACAUUAUCUUAAAGUGUUUUUAUGACAUUGUUUUCUUUUGCACAUGCUAAGCUAUUUAAAAAGUACUUUUUAUGCUCGUUAUUCAGAAUGUCGUCUUUCUAUGCUCAUCUUCAAUGUUUGUUGCAAGUCACCAUUUUGAACACAUGUUCAUAUUAUGUGAAAAUAUGGUUGAUCCACACAUGCAACUAUUAAAAUGUUCUACUCUUCCGAGACAACUUUUCAAAAAAAGUUGGUGUUUUUGUCAAUUAAUCAAAGCAUUCAUUUGUUGAUCUACAGCAGGGUUCACCAACCUUUUUGAAACCAAGAGCUACUUCUUGGGUACCGAUUAAUGCGAAGGGCUACCAGUUUGAUACACACUUAAAUAAAUUGCCAGAAAUAGCCAAUUUGCUCAAUUUACCUUUAAUAAAUAAAUCUAUAUAUAUAAAAAAAAUGGUUAUUUCUGUCUUUCAUUCAGUCGUUCUUUUUUUUCCCUUUACGGAAGGUUUUUUGUAGAGAAUAAAUUAUUAAAAAAACAUUUAAUUGAACAGUUUAAAAGAGGAGAAAACAGGAAAAAAAUGAAAAUAAAAUUUUGAAACAUAGUUUAUCUUAAAUUUCAACUCUUUAAAAUUCAAAAUUCAACCGAAAAAAAUGAAAAGAAGAAUUUAUGGAACAUCAUAAUCGUAAUUUUUCCUGAUUAAGAUUACUUUUAGAAUUUUGAUGACAUGUUUUAAAUAGGUUAAAAUCCCAUCUGCACUAUGUUAGAAUAUAUAACAAAUUGGACCAAGCUAUAUUUCUAACAAAGACAAAUCAUUAUUUCUUCUAGAUUUUUCAGAACAAAAAUUUUAAAAGAAUUUCAAAAGACUUUGAAAUAAGAUUUGAAUUUGAUUUUAGAGAUUUUCUAGAUUUGCCAGAAUAUUUUUUUGGAAUUUUAAUCAUAAUAAGUUUGAAGAAAUAUUUCACAAAUAUUAUUCAUCGAAAAUGAAGAAUUAAAUUAAAAUGUAUUUAUUAUUCUUUACAAUAAAAAAAAAAUACUUGAACAUUGAUUUUAAUUGUCAGGAAAGAAGAGGAAGGAAUUUAAAAGGUAAAAAAGGUAUAUGUGUUUAAAAAUCCUAAAAUCAUUUUUAAGGUUGUAUUUUUUCUCUAAAAUUGUCUUCAUGAAAGUUAUAAGAAGCAAACUAAAAAAUAAAAAAAUAAUUCAUUUAAACAAGUGAAGAUCACGUCUUUAAAAUACUUUCUUGGAUUUUGGAGACCAGCUUGCUAGUAAAUAAAUAACAUUUUAAAAAUAGAAGCAGCUCACUGGUAAGUGCUGCUAGUUGAGCUAUUUUUAGAACAGGCCAGUGGGCGACUCAUCUGGUCCUUACGGGCUACCUUGUGCCCGCGGGCACCGCGUUGGUGACCCCUGAUCUACAGUAAUAACUCAACUCACCAGUUUUUCAGAAUAAGAACUGUCACAACAUGAAGAAGCUGCUGAUGGUGUAUUUCAGCGUUUUUCAACCUUUUUUGAGUGAAGGCACAUUUUUUGCGUUGAAAAAAUGCGGAGGCACACCACCAGCAUAAAUCAUCAAAAAAUGAAACUCAGUUGACAGUAAAAAGUCGGUGCAAUUGUUGGAUAUGACUUUAAAGCAUAACCAAGCAUGCAUCACUAUAGCUCUUGUCUCAAAGUAGGUGUACUGUCACCACCUGUCACAUCACGCCCUGACUUAUUUGGAGUUUUUUGCUGUAUUCCUGUAUGUAGUGUAUUAACUCUGGUCUUGCGCUCCUAUUUUGGUGGCGUUUUCUCUUUUUUUUGUUAUUUUCCUGUAGCAGUUUCAUGUCUUCCUUUGAGCGAUAUUUCCUGCAUCUACUUUGUUUUAGCAAUUCAACAAUAUUUCAGUUGUUUUUAUCUUUCUUUGUGGGGACAGUUGAUUGUCAUGUCAUGUUCAGAUGCAAGGGAGUAGGCUUGAUUUUGAGAUUGGUGGGGACACAAAAGUGCUCCAAGGCAGCACUCUGAAAGUUUCCUUUUUUUUUUUUUACAUUAGCAAUCAUAAUUUCACGUCAUGCAGAUGUUAGGGUAAAGCAACUAAAAUGAAAGCAAAGGAGACAACUUGGAAGAGUUCUCAUCUUUACUCUGUAGUGUAGGGCUGUAGUGCAACUGUGCAUCAUACCGUCAAUUAUCAUAGCCUACUGUCCAUCAACAACAUCAGAAAUACAUUCAUGCAAUACAACAUUGUAAAUAAACAUAAAUGAACUGUAAUAAUCUCCAGCCUCUCCUUCUCUACUUCCUCCUGCCUCUCUUCCUCUAACUUCUCUGGCCUCUCCUCCUCCAUCUCCUCCAGCCUCUCUGCUGUCUGUCACCUUACAAAAAAAUAUGUUGAUGCAUGACAGAUACAUUAGGGACAACGACCAUAGAGCUUGAUGGUACAGUUACUGCCUGAGCAAAAAGGCUUUUAUUAAAUAUGAAUAUUACUUAAUAUUAAUUAAUUAUAUUUUAUCAUUGUAAAAUCACACGAUCAUCUAGUGAGGUUUUAUCGUAUUUCCACCACAAAGUUUUGUUCUAUGGUAUUUUCAAACUGUUGCUCACUUUUACACAAAUACAUGAAAUUAAAAAAGUAAUUUAAAAAAUAAAACGGAGAGGUUAAAACCGGUGAUCUGAUUGGCUGUUAACGGUGGUUUAAAUAUUCUAAAGCCUUAUCACAGCGCAGGCUAUCACUCUGCCUCAGGCACGCAUGACUGGUAUGAAUGGAAGUUGUUGUCAUGUAUCCAUGACAACGGAAUGUUGCAGUCCGUAGUAAAAGACAGCUGAUGUUUUUACGAUGUUAAAAGACGGAGACUAAAGUAGUUGAAUUCACAUGUUUAAGGUUAACUUUCACCUCCGGGGAGGGUUAACAAUGGUACAGGGGACUGAGCAUUGACUUUCACCUGAAAAAAAGCGGAGGAAAAGACGAAAUGCAGUGCUAAUUUGGAGCUAACGUCUGGAUAGGUGGGACUAUUUUUUCCACAGUGAGGCUAUUUUAUUGGAUAAUAUGUAUUUCUGGUUGAAUAAAACUACAUUAAAUUGAUUGAGUAUUCCUAUUUCAUAAUGCCUUUAUUUGUAACCGUUUUAUAAAAGCAAUAUAUAACUCCAGUCCAUGGUAUAUGCUCAUUAUUGCACUCUAAGGGGUGUGACUGGAGUGAUAUAUUAUUGAAUUAUUCAAUAUUGUUGAGCCUCUAUACACCCUUGAAGUAACUUAGUUUGACUCCUAAAGAAGUCUCUUAUAUUCAGUUUUCUUUUCAUUUACAUCCUUCAAAACCUACAGCACACACGCACGCAAACAGACACAAACACAAUGUCAAUCACAGCACUGAUAUUAAAAUCCAUCUAGCUACCGUGUGCCAGGAACAACAAAUGCCGAACAUUAUGACAACUUGCACUGGUCGCUAGCAACUAGCAUGUAGGCUAGCUUUUACAAGCAGAAGGAGUGACAGCGGGGACAGCCAAUCACACGUAAGUUACCAUGAAACCGGCAACCAAUCAGGGAGCGAUAUUUGGGUUAGAGGCGGGACUUCUAGCAGAGACCGACAUUUAACCCUUUCUGUGCCAUAAUCAUUGACUAAACAUUACGGGCAGCGCUUGUAUUGAUAGUGACUACACUACACAGUUGCGGCUGGAUAUUGGUAGGGACGUGUCCCUAGCGUCCCUACCCAAUUCUACGCCCUUGUUCAGAUGUACUUUGUGAAAGCCGUCUUUACUCCACAGUACGUCUUUGCUGUCGUUCAGCAUUCAGUUUUUCUUUACUUUGUAGCCAGUUCAGUUUUGGUUUCGAUCUGCAAAGCCAUCCCUAAGCUUCAAUGCCUUUUCUAAGGGGCACUCACUUUUUGUUUAUUUUUGGUUUAAGCAUUAGACACCUUUUUUACCUGCACACUGCCUCCCACUGUUUCCGACAUCUACAAAGCAAUUAGCACCGGCUGCCAACCACUGAUAUGAAAGAGUAUUACACGGUUACUCUGCCGAGCUUUAGAAAACACUGACAUUUAACAACACAUAAUUUACGGACUAUAAUUACUGGGCUGAAAACAAUUUUAAAGGCCUACUGAAAUGAGAUUUUCUUAUUCAAACGGGGAUAGCAGGUCCAUUCUAUGUGUCAUACUUGAUCAUUUCGCGAUAUUGCCAUAUUUUUUGCUGAAAGGAUUUAGUAGAGAACAUCGACGAUUAAGUUUGCAACUGGAGAAAAGCCCUGCCUCUACCGGAAGUCACAGACGAUGAUGUCACAAGUGUGAGGGCUCCUCACAUAUUCACAUUGAUUUUAAUGGGAA